rnacentral:rRNA from 1 species
UUGAACGCUGGCGGCAGGCCUAACCCAUGCAAGUCGCGCGGAUGAAGGGAGCUUGCUCCUGGAUUCAGCGGCGGACGGGUGAGUAAUGCCUAGGAAUCUGCCUGGUAGUGGGGGAUAACGUCCGGAAACGGGCGCUAAUACCGCAUACGUCCUGAGGGAGAAAGUGGGGGAUCUUCGGACCUCACGCUAUCAGAUGAGCCUAGGUCGGAUUAGCUAGUUGGUGGGGUAAAGGCCUACCAAGGCGACGAUCCGUAACUGGUCUGAGAGGAUGAUCAGUCACACUGGAGCUGAGACACGGUCCAGACUCCUACGGGAGGCAGCAGUGGGGAAUAUUGGACAAUGGGCGAAAGCCUGAUCCAGCCAUGCCGCGUGUGUGAAGAAGGUCUUCGGAUUGUAAAGCACUUUAAGUUGGGAGGAAGGGCAGUAAGUUAAUACCUUGCUGUUUUGACGUUACCAACAGAAUAAGCACCGGCUAACUUCGUG